AUUGAACGCUGGCGGCAGGCCUAACACAUGCAAGUCGAACGAGUGGCGGACGGGUGAGUAAUGUCUGGGAAACUGCCCGAUGGAGGGGGAUAACUACUGGAAACGGUAGCUAAUACCGCAUACCAUCGGAUGUGCCCAGAUGGGUUGAGCUAGUGGGGGGGGUAACGGCUCACCUAGGCGACGAUCCCUAGCUGGGCUGAGAGGAUGACCAGCCACACGGGAACUGAGACACGGUCCAGACUCAGACGGGAGGCAGCAGUGGGGAAUAUUGCACAAUGGGCGCAAGCCUGAUGCAGCGAUGACGCGUGGAUGAAGAAGGCCGUCGGGUUGUAAAGUACUUUCAGCGAUGAGGCGGUACUCGCAGAGGAAGCACCGGCUAACUCCGUGCCAGCAGCCGCGGUAAUAC
rnacentral:rRNA from 1 species